UACGUAGGGUGCAAGCGUUAAUCGGAAUUACUGGGCGUAAAGCGUGCGCAGGCGGCUUUGCAAGACAGAUGUGAAAUCCCCGGGCUCAACCUGGGAACUGCAUUUGUGACUGCAAGGCUAGAGUACGGUAGAGGGGGAUGGAAUUCCGCGUGUAGCAGUGAAAUGCGUAGAUAUGCGGAGGAACACCGAUGGCGAAGGCAGUGCUCUGGGCUAACACUGACGCUGAGGUGCGAAAGCCAGGGGAGCAAACGGG
rnacentral:rRNA from 1 species